rnacentral:rRNA from 1 species
GAUGAACGCUGGCGGCGUGCCUAAUACAUGCAAGUCGAGCGAACGGACCCGAAGUUUGCUGUUCUGAUGUUUGCGGCGGACGGGUGUGUAACACGUGGAUAACCUACUUAUAAGACUGGGAACACUUCGGGAAACCGGAGCUAACACCGGAUAAUAUUUUGUACCGUAGGGUUCAUAAGUGAAAUACUGUGUUGCUGUCACUUAUAGAUGGUUCCGCGCUGCAUUAGCUAGUUGGUAAGGUAACGGCUUACCAAGGCAACGAUGCAUAGACGACCUGAGAGGGUGAUCGGCCACACUGGAACUGAGACACGGACCAGACUCCUACGAGAGGGAGCAGUAGGGAAUCGUACGCAGUAGGCGAGAGCCUGACAGAGCAGCGCCGAGUGAGUGAUGAAGGUCUUCGGAGCGUAAAAAUCUGUUAUUAGGGAUGAACAUAUGUGUAAGUAACUGUACCCAUCUUGACGGUACCUGAUCAGAAAGCGACGGCUAACUACGUG